UUUCCCAACUUUUGUCCUUAGAUAGCCAGCAAGACAAUCAGCCUCCUCUUGUAUUUUUUCUUCCAUUCCCCUUCUUCCUAAACCGUAUCUGCAUGGAACGGCCAAAUAAGGAACGGCAUGUGUUGACAACCACUACGUCACUUCUACCCAUCCUAAUGGACAUCACUGGGCCGUAUUCGAGGCUCCACUUCUUAAAUACUUCUCCAGGGAACCGGCCAAGGAAAGGCAAGACACCAAUUAAAGAGCAGAUAACGAUGAAAUAGCUUCGGAUCAAUGAUUCACCAGACUUUAUACCAACAACCCUCGUCAGCAACUUCAGCAACCGCGAUAUUGAGUUUUCGUUUUUGAUCGAACAAUGUUAACUGUUCUGCAGCACAGUCGGCACACUGUUCUGCAGCAUUCAAACUAAGGGUAAAAACUUUUAAUUGACCUUUACCUAAAAACUGAAACAUAUGCUGCAUAUUCUGCUGCCAAAAAAACGUUUGAAUAACCACCA